rnacentral:rRNA from 1 species
ACGGUGGGCGGCAGGCCUAACACAUGCAAGUCGAACGGUAACAGGAAGCAGCUUGCUUUUUCGCUGACGAGUGGCGGACGGGUGAGUAAUGUCUGGGAAACUGCCUGAUGGAGGGGGAUAACUACUGGAAACGGUAGCUAAUACCGCAUAACGUCGCAAGACCAAAGAGGGGGACCUUCGGGCCUCUUGCCAUCGGAUGUGCCCAGAUGGGAUUAGCUAGUAGGUGGGGUAACGGCUCACCUAGGCGACGAUCCCUAGCUGGUCUGAGAGGAUGACCAGCCACACUGGAACUGAGACACGGUCCAGACUCCUACGGGAGGCAGCAGUGGGGAAUAUUGCACAAUGGGCGCAAGCCUGAUGCAGCCAUGCCGCGUGUAUGAAGAAGGCCUUCGGGUUGUAAAGUACUUUCAGCGGGGAGGAAGGGAGUAAAGUUAAUACCUUUGCUCAUUGACGUUACCCGCAGAAGAAGCACCGGCUAACUCCGUGCCAGCAGCCGCGGUAAUACGGAGGGUGCAAGCGUUAAUCGGAAUUACUGGGCGUAAAGCGCACGCAGGCGGUUUGUUAAGUCAGAUGUGAAAUCCCCGGGCUCAACCUGGGAACUGCAUCUGAUACUGGCAAGCUUGAGUCUCGUAGAGGGGGGUAGAA